CAAGUCGAGGGGCAGCAUGAACUUAGCUUGCUAAGUUUGAUGGCGACCGGCGCACGGGUGAGUAACACGUAUCCAACCUGCCGAUGACUCGGGGAUAGCCUUUCGAAAGAAAGAUUAAUACCCGAUGGCAUAGUUCUUCCGCAUGGUGGAACUAUUAAAGAAUUUCGGUCAUCGAUGGGGAUGCGUUCCAUUAGGUUGUUGGCGGGGUAACGGCCCACCAAGCCUUCGAUGGAUAGGGGUUCUGAGAGGAAGGUCCCCCACAUUGGAACUGAGACACGGUCCAAACUCCUACGGGAGGCAGCAGUGAGGAAUAUUGGUCAAUGGACGAGAGUCUGAACCAGCCAAGUAGCGUGAAGGAUGACUGCCCUAUGGGUUGUAAACUUCUUUUAUACGGGAAUAAAGUGAGGCACGUGUGCCUUUUUGUAUGUACCGUAUGAAUAAGGAUCGGCUAACUCCGUGCCAGCAGCCGCGGUAAUACGGAGGAUCCGAGCGUUAUCCGGAUUUAUUGGGUUUAAAGGGAGCGUAGGCGGACGCUUAAGUCAGUUGUGAAAGUUUGCGGCUCAACCGUAAAAUUGCAGUUGAUACUGGGUGUCUUGAGUACAGUAGAGGCAGGCGGAAUUCGUGGUGUAGCGGUGAAAUGCUUAGAUAUCACGAAGAACUCCGAUUGCGAAGGCAGCCUGCUGGACUGUAACUGACGCUGAUGCUCGAAAGUGUGGGUAUCAAACAGGAUUAGAUACCCUGGUAGUCCACACAGUAAACGAUGAAUACUCGCUGUUUGCGAUAUACAGUAAGCGGCCAAGCGAAAGCGUUAAGUAUUCCACCUGGGGAGUACGCCGGCGCGGUGAAACUC
rnacentral:rRNA from 1 species